rnacentral:lncRNA from 1 species
UUAUGUGUCCGGGGUGUAACAAUAAGAUGCUUAUGUCAAUGUUGAAUAGCAUACAAGGGAAAUUAGAUACCCGUUUUAUUAAUUUGUGGAGUUUGCUGGGUUGGUAGCUUCCAUCUAUUCGAUUUGAAUUCCAGGACAAGAAAAAGCAGAUUUCAAAGGAAAAGCAAAGGAUUUUACACCCACAGCUGCGAAGGUACAUACAAUAAAGGUCGUACCCAGUGCACAAGGCUCCUGCUUUAUGCAGAGUCUGGGAGAGGUGAAUGUCGGCUAGCCUUACCCCCAUUUUAUGGGGAGGCUGCUCCCAAGUCUCGAACCCGAGACCUACCGCUCAUGGGCAAAGGCACUUGCCAUCGCACCAAAUGCGACCUCUUCGAAGGUACAUACAAUGUGAUGUUAAAUUUACCCAAUUUUUCGAUUUGGAUUUAGUUCAGAGUUUUUGGGUUUUUGACUUAGUUAAAGUAGUGAUCUUUAUGUCCGUACAGUUGUAGUGGGAAAUGAAAAUUGUCUUGUUAAUUUGUUGCACAGCAAGACAUUGGCAUAUGCAUGAAGGCUUAUGGUAUUUGUAUGAUUUAAACACACCCACAUGGUUGGGUUGUGUUGUGUUGUGUGUGCAAUGCAUAAACUCAGUUAGCUGAUUAAAUUAAAACUGAAGAGUUAUGAAAUUUGAGAUGCAUAGCAGCCUAAGUCCACAAAUAGGUUGCCGCACCAAUUCAAUAAAGUUUCAUAACACGGAACAAAGUUCCUUGACCACCACAAAGCCCUAACUUAAGGCUGAUAAUCCUUGAAUCUCAAAUAGUAUAUCACCAUGUAUAGCCGAUAAGCCAUAUUUGAAGAUUACCACAUAAUCUAUAACCUAAAAAGUUAGAAGAAAGUAAUAGAUUCUAAAAAAGGUAUGAUGAAUUGCAUCGUGUAUAUAUUUUUCUUACCAUAAGCAGCUUUUUUGGAAUUUCAUUAUUAACACUGGUCGUUAUUUAAUUUCACAACAUACCCAAAUGCAAUUCAAGGUUUGGAAUUUGAUAUAUAUUUUGAUGUGGGAAUUCAAAGCUUUUUCAGUGUUUAGUUUGUUUAUAUAUUUGAAGGAGUUAAUGUUGGAAGAACUGAAAAGAAAAACUAUUGCAAUGAGAAAUAAGCAGAUUUUUCUUUGUUAGUGUUAGAUUUAUGUAUGAUAUUUUAGAUUUUGUAAGGAAGAAGAAUUGGAAUUGAAACUUUGGCUUUUGGAUUUUCUGGGAAGAGCAAAGAAUACGGAUGAAAUGAUGUAUCUUCUUUCACACAAUGAUGGUUGGUCUGAGACCGGUUAGCAAGAUAUAAUCUUAACCAUCCAAGUAAGUCAUUUUAUGAGAUGCUUACACAUCCAAAUAAGACAACUAUAAAACUGAGAGUACAAGUUGUGGAUGCAAAUUUUCUCCUCUUCGAUCUUGGACGAUUUUGCACCUACAAAACAACUAGCACCUUAGGUUAAGGCCAAAAGCUUCACGCGCCCACGAUGAAUGGGGGGGGCUUUGGCCGAAGAACCUCCGAUACCAAAGUUAGAAAUUUAGAGAGAAAUAGUGUUUAGAGUGUUUUGGAAUUUUUGCAAGAGGUUUGGAAUGAGUGUUUGGUAGAAAUGGGUGACUAUUUAUAGGACCAAAUUGGUCCACAUUUUCAAGAAAAGGGCCGGCCCCUUUGUGUGCUUUUGGGUGAAUUUUUUGGUUUUAUUAGCCACUUUAUUGGCUAAUAAAAUACAAUAGAAAUAAAUGGGAAGUUACUAAAUUGAAUGGUUAUUAUUAUUUGGCUAAUGAAGUGGAGGAAGUAUGAAAAGAUAAGGAAAAAGAGAGGGAAUGUGGCCGGCUCCUAGAUGGGAGUUUUGGGUUUUAUUUUUGGUUUAAUUAGCCAAUUAAUUGGCUAAUUAAAUAUGAAAGGAGAUAUUUUAUUAUUUAUGGUAUUGAUUGGCUAAUUUAAAAGGGAAAGAAAGGUGGAAAAGGUAGAAAAAAGGUGAUGGAAAAGAUUUUGAAUGGGGUAGCCGGCCUUAUGUCAU